AUGAUGGCAUGGAUAAGGAGUAGUAGUUGCCUAAGGAGCGUACCAGAGAGUUAACGGUUGGUGCGAGUUAACCGCUUCCGGCAAUGAACUCGCCUUGGAGCCGAUAGCGGGAUAUAAAGGUACCGUUAUCCGUCUCAUCCACGUUACGGAUGCUAAAGUGAGCGCAAGGCUUGCACAUAGCUCUGCGUUAACUAGGGUGGUACCGCGGGAGUAAGCCUCUCGUCCCUGGA
rnacentral:ncRNA from 1 species